rnacentral:rRNA from 1 species
GACGAACGCUGGCGGCGCGCCUAACACAUGCAAGUCGAACGAGCGAGAGAGAGCUUGCUUUCUCGAGCGAGUGGCGAACGGGUGAGUAACGCGUGAGGAACCUGCCUCAAAGAGGGGGACAACAGUUGGAAACGACUGCUAAUACCGCAUAAGCCCACGCCCCGGCAUCGGGUAGAGGGAAAAGGAGCAAUCCGCUUUGAGAUGGCCUCGCGUCCGAUUAGCUAGUUGGUGAGGUAACGGCCCACCAAGGCGACGAUCGGUAGCCGGACUGAGAGGUUGAACGGCCACAUUGGGACUGAGACACGGCCCAGACUCCUACGGGAGGCAGCAGUGGGGAAUAUUGCACAAUGGGGGAAACCCUGAUGCAGCGACGCCGCGUGGAGGAAGAAGGUCUUCGGAUUGUAAACUCCUGUUGUUGAGGAAGAUAAUGACGGUACUCAACAAGGAAGUGACGGCUAACUACGUG